rnacentral:lncRNA from 1 species
GUCCUUUUGCACUCCGUGGAAGCUUUGUUCUUUAGCCCUUUGCGAUAAAUCUUGCUGCUCCUCACUUUUUGGGUCCGUGCUGCCUUUAUGAGCUGUAACACUCACUGCGAGGGGACGCAGCUUCACACCUGAAGCCAGCGAGACCACGAACCCACCAGAAGGAAUGAACAACUGCUGACGGUCCACCUUUAAGAGCUGUAACACUUACCGCAAAGGUCUGCAGCUUCAUUCCUGAAGUCAGCAAGACCAUGAACCCACCGGAAGGAAGAAACUCCAGACACAUCUGAACAUCUGAAAGAACAAACUCUGGACACACCAUCUUUAAGAGCUGUAAUACUCACCCUGAAGGUCUGCGGCUUUAUUCUUGAAGGCAGCGAGACCAAGAACCCACUCAUUCCGGACACACCACAACACUUGGCUAAUUUUUGUAUUUUUGGUAGAGAUGGGGUUUCUCUACUACAGCGGGGCUGGUCUUGAAUUCCUGACCUCAGGUGAUCUGCCUGCCCGCCUUGGCCUUCCAACGUGCUAGGACUACGGGUGUGAGCCACCACGCCCAGCUGAAAGUUUCUUAAUCUUAAGUGAGCCCUGGUAUGAGGUGUAGGUGUAAGAAUGCUUUUAUUGUUCGAUCAGACUUUAGGGUUUGAGAAAACCCAGGCGGGAUCUUAAUGGGUUUGUUUUCUCAUUCCAGCCCUCAUACUCAGGCACCGGUUUCUCCAGUUCUCUAAUGUUUAACUUAUGACUUCAUAAUUAUAGUAAAGGGUUAGUGGAAACUGUUCUGGUUGCUAAUGGAAACCUGGCCUGCUACAAUGGUGUCCCAUAAGUCUCUUAGGAUCUGUUUACUUUUCUUAAAUUGUUUUUCUAUUUCUCAGAUUCAAAAAUUUCCAUUAUUUUGCCUUCAAAUUUGUUAAUUCAUUCUUCUACUUGCUCAAAUCUCCCUUUGAAUACUUCCAGUGAAGUUUUCAUUUUAGUUACUGCGUUUUUCAGCUCCAGACUUUGUUUUAGGUUUCUUUUUAGCUCUUCUACCUUUUUAUUGGUAUUUCCGUUUUGACUUUCUUCAUCUUUUUUUAGUUCUUUUGGCAUCUUUAAGACAGUUUAGUAGAUCCGCCAUCAAGUCUGUUUCAGGGACAGUUUCUGUUUACUGUUUUUCCUUUGACUAGGCCAUAUUUUCCUGUUUCCUUAUAUGCUUUAUGAUUUUUUUUUGUCAUUGAAAAGCAAACAUUUGAAUACAAUAAUGUGAUAACUCUGGAAAUAAGAUUCUCCUUCUUCCCAAGAAAAGAGAAAAAGAAAAAAUGAAGCAGGGAGCGAAAGGUGCUGGCUUUUUAAAUCCCGCAAAGUCACUUGAGCUGGAGGAGUUUGCAACAACUGAGGAUGGCUUAUUUGUCAUCUCCAAAACAUCUGUGGGUAAAGCCCCCUGGACUGCCGCUCUUGCCUUGCAGUGUCCAUUUGGCUGUUGAAGUUUGAGUGCCAUCAUGUCACUUCAGUGUUACAAGGUUCCAUCAUCUCUACUGUUCUCAGUGAACCCAGUUCUGAAAUGGUAUCUUCUGUCUUCACCCUGGACUACAGGGAGAACCACUGCUGAGUCUUAGAGUGAUGCUGAUUCCUCUCUAACCAGAUAAUGCCUUAUUGAUUUGGAAGGAUAAAGGCUUACCUCCUCAGCAGGACUCCUCAGAUGGGGCAUGAUAUGCCCUGUUCUUGCAUCUGCAGGAUCACAGAUGACAAAUUCCUCAUCUCAACACAUCCAUGUUGUUUUCUCUGUCUGUGGGUCGCACCUGACUUUUUAAAGCUUCAGGGCCUUUGCACAGGCUGUUUCCUCUGCUUGGAAUGCUUUCUGCCCUCUCUGCCUGGACAAUUUGCAUUCUUUUUUUUUUUUUUUUUGAGAUGGAGUUUUGCUCCUGUUGCCCAGGCUGGAGGGCAAUGAUGUGACCUUGGCUCACCGCAACCUCCGCCUCCUGGGUUCAAGCAAUUCUCCCACCUUAGCCUCCCGAGUAGCUGGGAUUACAGGUAUGCACCACUAUGCCCGGCUAAUUUUGUAUUUUUAGUAGAGAUGGGGUUUCUCCAUGUUGGUCAGGCUGGUCUUGAACUCCUGACCUCAGGUGAUCUGCCUGCCUUGGCCUCCCAAAGUGCUGGGAUUGCAUUUAUUUUUAAGGUUUUUGUCUAAAUGUUUCUUUCUCAGAGAGGCAUUCCCUAACCCUCAAUGUAGAUCAAGGCCACUUGUUAUAUGCUCUCACAAUGCCUGUCGUCUGUAGCUGGCCUUUUCAGCACUUAUCAUCGUGAUAACAACAUAGUUAUUUAUGUGUUUAGCUGUUCAGUGCCUGUCUCUCUCCCUCUGCCACGUUUUAUGAAGGCAAGAACUAUGGCUAUUU